CCUACGGGAGGCAGCAGUAGGGAAUAUUGCUCAAUGGGGGAAACCCUGAAGCAGCAACGCCGCGUGGAGGAUGAAGGUUUUCGGAUUGUAAACUCCUUUUGUUAGAGAAGAUAAUGACGGUAUCUAACGAAUAAGCACCGGCUAACUCCGUGCCAGCAGCCGCGGUAAUACGGAGGCUGCAAGCGUUACUCGGAAUCACUGGGCGUAAAGCGCGCGUAGGCGGGAUAGAAAGUCAGAUGUGAAAUCCUAUGGCUUAACCAUAGAACUGCAUUUGAAACUGUUAUUCUAGAGUAUGGGAGAGGUAGGUGGAAUUCUUGGUGUAGGGGUAAAAUCCGUAGAGAUCAAGAGGAAUACUCAUUGCGAAGGCGACCUGCUAGAACAUAACUGACGCUGAUGCGCGAAAGCGUGGGGAGCAAACAGGAUUAGAUACCCCGGUAGUC
rnacentral:rRNA from 1 species